rnacentral:rRNA from 1 species
GGACAUCUCAGUUCGGAUUGUAGUCUGCAACUCGACUACAUGAAGCUGGAAUCGCUAGUAAUCGCGAAUCAGAAUGUCGCGGUGAAUACGUUCUCGGGUCUUGUACACACCGCCCGUCACACCAUGGGAGUUGGGAAUGCCCGAAGCCGGUGACCUAACCGCAAGGAAGGAGCCGUCGAAGGCAGGCUUGAUAAACUGGGGUGAAGUCGUAACAAGGUACC